GGGCGUUAAGUUGCAGGGUAUAGACCCGAAACCCGGUGAUCUAGCCAUGGGCAGGUUGAAGGUUGGGUAACACUAACUGGAGGACCGAACCGACUAAUGUUGAAAAAUUAGCGGAUGACUUGUGGCUGGGGGUGAAAGGCCAAUCAAACCGGGAGAUAGCUGGUUCUCCCCGAAAGCUAUUUAGGUAGCGCCUCGUGAAUUCAUCUCCGGGGGUAGAGCACUGUUUCGGCAAGGGGGUCAUCCCGACUUACCAACCCGAUGCAAACUGCGAAUACCGGAGAAUGUUAU
rnacentral:rRNA from 1 species